rnacentral:rRNA from 1 species
UGAGGAAUUUUGCGCAAUGGGGGAAACCCUGACGCAGCAACGCCGCGUGGGUGAUGAAGGCCUUCGGGUCGUAAAGCCCUGUCGGGCGGGAAGAACGUCCCUUCGGGGAAUGACGGUACCGCCAGAGGAAGCACCGGCUAACUCCGUGCCAGCAGCCGCGGUAAUAAGGAGGGUGCAAGCGUUAUUCGGACUUACUGGGCGUACAGGGCGUGCAGGCGGGAGAGCAAGUCUGAUGUGAAAGCCCGGGGCUUAACCCCGGAAGUGCAUUGGAAACUGCUUUUCUUGAGUUCUGGAGAGGAAGGGAGAAUUCCCGGUGUAGAGGUGAAAUUCGUAGAGAUCGGGAGGAACAUCAGUGGCGAAGGCGCCCUUCUGGACAGCAACUGACGCUGAGACACGAAAGCGUGGGGAGCAAACA